UUUACCUCAACUGCUUUAGCUGAAAGGACUUAGUGUAUCCACUGAAAAAGAAUAAAUGCACUAUCUUGGAAGCUAAUGCAGUGAAGUUUAAUAAAACAACAAAUGUUUAGUUCAGGUCAGUUUAUUUUGAAUAUGCAAC